UACAGAGGGGGCAAGCGUUAUUCGGAAUUAUUGGGCGUAAAGGGCGCGUAGGCGGCUUGGCAAGUGGAUGGUGAAAUCCCUCGGCUUAACCGAGGAACUGCCGUCCAAACUGCUUCGCUUGAGACCGGGAGAGGUGAGUGGAAUUCCCAGUGUAGCGGUGAAAUGCGUAGAUAUUGGGAGGAACACCAGUGGCGAAGGCGGCGAUCUGGGUAGAUACUGACGCUGAGGUGCGAAAGCGUGGGGAGCAAACAGG
rnacentral:rRNA from 1 species